GGCUUAACACAUGCAAGUCGAGCGGUAGCACAGGGGAGCUUGCUCCCUGGGUGACGAGCGGCGGACGGGUGAGUAAUGUCUGGGAAACUGCCUGAUGGAGGGGGAUAACUACUGGAAACGGUAGCUAAUACCGCAUAACGUCGCAAGACCAAAGAGGGGGACCUUCGGGCCUCUUGCCAUCAGAUGUGCCCAGAUGGGAUUAGCUAGUACGUGGGGUAACGGCUCACCUAGGCGACGAUCCCUAGCUGGUCUGAGAGGAUGACCAGCCACACUGGAACUGAGACACGGCCCAGACUCCUACGGGAGGCAGCAGUGGGGAAUAUUGCACAAUGGGCGCAAGCCUGAUGCAGCCAUGCCGCGUGUAUGAAGAAGGCCUUCGGGUUGUAAAGUACUUUCAGCGGGGAGGAAGGUGUUGUGGUUAAUAACCACAGCAAUUGACGUUACCCGCAGAAGAAGCACCGGCUAACUCCGUGCCAGCAGCCGCGGUAAUACGGAGGGUGCAAGCGUUAAUCGGAAUUACUGGGCGUAAAGCGCACGCAGGCGGUCUGUCAAGUCGGAUGUGAAAUCCCCGGGCUCAACCUGGGAACUGCAUUUGAAACUGGCAAGCUAGAGUCUCGUAGAGGGGGGUAGAAUUCCAGGUGUAGCGGUGAAAUGCGUAGAGAUCUGGAGGAAUACCGGUGGCGAAGGCGGCCCCCUGGACGAAGACUGACGCUCAGGUG
rnacentral:rRNA from 1 species